CAAGCAGCUGCUCUUCUGGCCUCCUUUGUUCUCGGAGCGCCCGCCCUGCGAGUGAGCCAUUCCAUUCCUUCCAAUAUUCCAGAAAAUGUCUUUACGCGGUGUAGCCAACCUGUCGCUGUCACUGAGGACUCUUCUGAUUAUCUGGGCAUGCUUUACACGGGAUCCUGAAGAAUAUCGCGGUGACAAUGUUAAGGCAAAAUAGAACCAUUGCUUCUACAUCUUCUGCAAAACUAAUGCACGCAAACAACAGAAUAGUAAGAAAAGAUGAGACGACGACCCUGUGUGCCUGCCUCACGUAGUAGCCCUGAUCAAAACCUGAGAUUUCCCCGAUUGAAAGCACUGCGUGGUGAAGGACCACCGCAUCGAGUUUGAGAACUCCCGCAUCGUCGACCUUUAGAGGCCAAUUGCUAUAAGCGGCUUCCUGUGGAAUCCUGGUCCAUCCAGGCGGCAGCCCAUACACUUAACCGGUCUACAGGUGCGCUGCCCAGCGAGUCUGCCUCAACGGAAUGCUCCACAUCACGGAGAAUAGGCCUCACCCCACGGCAGAAAGA